GUUUGAUUUCACAGAAUUGUGAUUGACUUGGAGUUACAUUGUGUUGUUUAAGUGUUCCCUUUAUUUUUUUGAGCAGUGUAGUUCAUAGGGUAAUUGCAAAGAUCGUGAUCAUUUGAUCAUACACCGAUACCGCUGUUUGCUCCUAUCCCCUGGAUUCCAGGAAUGUCAGCACCACGUGACUUACUGGUUUCGCCCUGGGUGGGCUUUCUCAAAGUGGGGAUUAUACCACCAGUAAGUAACGUGGUGCUGACAUUCCUGGUGUUCAGGGGAGAGGAUCAAACAG